rnacentral:rRNA from 1 species
AUUGAACGCUGGCGGAAUGCUUUACACAUGCAAGUCGAACGGUAGAGGGGGCAACCCCUCGAGAGUGGCGAACGGGUGAGUAAUAUAUCGGAACGUGCCCAGUCGUGGGGGAUAACGUAGCGAAAGUUACGCUAAUACCGCAUACGAUCUAAGGAUGAAAGCGGGGGAUCGCAAGACCUCGCGCGAUUGGAGCGGCCGAUGUCAGAUUAGGUAGUUGGUGGGGUAAAGGCUCACCAAGCCAACGAUCUGUAGCUGGUCUGAGAGGACGACCAGCCACACUGGAACUGAGACACGGUCCAGACUCCUACGGGAGGCAGCAGUGGGGAAUUUUGGACAAUGGACGCAAGUCUGAUCCAGCCAUUCCGCGUGCAGGAUGAAGGCCCUCGGGUUGUAAACUGCUUUUGUACGGAACGAAAAGGUCUCUCUUAAUGCGGGGGACUCAUGACGGUACCGUAAGAAUAAGCACCGGCUAACUACGUGCCAGCCGCCGCCAGUAACAC